GUUGCGUGAAUGGAAGUCUUCCCUACGGGUUGUAAAUUUCUUUUGUACAAGAGUAAAGUGACUUACGUGUAGGUUUUUGCAAGUACUGUACGAAUAAGCAUCGGCUAACUGCCGUGCCAGCAGCCGCGGUAAUACGGAGGAUGCGAGCGUUAUCCGGAUUUAUUGGGUUUAAAGGGUGCGUAGGCGGAAUAUUAAGUCAGCGGUGAAAGUUUGAGGCUCAACCUUAAAAUUGCCGUUGAAACUGGUAUUCUUGAGUAUAGAUGAAGUAGGCGGAAUUCGUGGUGUAGCGGUGAAAUGCAUAGAUAUCACGAAGAACUCCAAUUGCGAAGGCAGCUUACUAAGGUAUAACUGACGCUGAGGCACGAAAGCGUGGGUAUCAAACAGGAUUAGAUACCCUGGUAGUCCACG
rnacentral:rRNA from 1 species